rnacentral:rRNA from 1 species
AGCGGCGGACGGGUGAGUAAUGCCUGGGAAAUUGCCCUGAUGUGGGGGAUAACCAUUGGAAACGAUGGCUAAUACCGCAUAAUAGCUUCGGCUCAAAGAGGGGGACCUUCGGGCCUCUCGCGUCAGGAUAUGCCCAGGUGGGAUUAGCUAGUUGGUGAGGUAAGGGCUCACCAAGGCGACGAUCCCUAGCUGGUCUGAGAGGAUGAUCAGCCACACUGGAACUGAGACACGGUCCAGACUCCUACGGGAGGCAGCAGUGGGGAAUAUUGCACAAUGGGCGCAAGCCUGAUGCAGCCAUGCCGCGUGUAUGAAGAAGGCCUUCGGGUUGUAAAGUACUUUCAGCAGUGAGGAAGGUGGAGUCGUUAAUAGCGGCCUCAUUUGACGUUAGCUGCAGAAGAAGCACCGGCUAACUCCGUGCCAGCAGCCGCGGUAAUACGGAGGGUGCGAGCGUUAAUCGGAAUUACUGGGCGUAAAGCGCAUGCAGGUGGUUUGUUAAGUCAGAUGUGAAAGCCCGGGGCUCAACCUCGGAAUUGCAUUUGAAACUGGCAGA